AUGUUGGUUGUUGAGAAUGGUUUGUAUCACUGGUACACUUUCGGCAGCGCCACCCGACUUGAUGUGGGCACAAACAGGCAGCCCACGCUGACCGUGCUGCCUCCCUCUAGUGAGGAGCUGAGCAGGAAGAGCUCGGCCACACUGGUGUGCCUGGCUGACCAGGGCUUCCCCUCCGACUGGAGCCUGAGCUGGAAGGUGGAUGGGACCAGUAAGAAUGGAGUGGCCAGUCGUGGGCUCAUGAAGGACGCUCUGUACAGCUGGAGCAGCACCCUGACGCUCAGUGAUGCCGAGUGGAACGGGGCCUCUUCAGUGGUCUGUGAGGCCACCCAGGGAUCUCAGACAGCGGUCACUAAAGCCCUGAGCAGAGCGGACUGCUCUCAGUAGGGUCCAGUCCUCUGCUCCGAUGAGGUGGCUGCUCUCUUAGCUUAAGUCCUAACGUGGAGCGCCACUAUAGGCAGCUUCAUCACAUGCCGUGCUGCAGUUGUUUUAACUUUCUUUUUUUAUUCAAUUGUAUGUAUGUUCUUCCUCUCAUGUUGAAAUGCCUUUGCUUGAUCAGAUUUUUUUCAAUUGAAGAUAUUUUCUAAAGGCUCUAAAAUAAAAGGUCAACAUCAUUGUA